GCACCCACUUAUUUAACACCUUCUUAUCCGCCUGGCCCCUGUCUGCUCGGUUUUGGGUUGGGGUGACCGCGGAGCAUAAAAUAGCCUCCACGAAAGAAGGGAUGAUUCCCUCAUUUUAGAACUACACUUCCAAAGACUAACAAAUUAAUUUUAAGUGAUCCGAUACCCGUAUUCGAUCAACGAACCAAGUUACCCUGGGGAUAACAGCGCAAUCUACCUCAAGAGCCCCUAUCGACAGGUGGGUUUACGACCUCGAUGUUGGAUCAGGGUAUCCCAGUGGUGCAGCAGCUACCAAAGGUUCGUUUGUUCAACGAUUAA
rnacentral:rRNA from 1 species